UGUAGCGCCCCCAGUGGUGCUCCGAGAGUCCAGCACGGCAUAACUCACGGUCAUUUCCACAGGAAGAAAACUCCACCGUCUGUACCGGAGCAAGUCUCACUGAAGGCAGCUGUAAAACAACAACAAUAUCACCGUCUGUACUGUAAAGGACUGAGGGUUACUGUGGUGGAGGGCUGCUACAUUCCCACCUGCUGCACACUGGGAGCACUACAGGCAGGUCCAACCUGAGGCCACGCACCUGGAGCUGGUUUAACUUGUUAGCCGAGGCUCACCAGAGACAGAGCUGCUGCCUUCGCUGUGUGGCUGGUCAUGGCAGAAGAACUUCAUGAAUAUGACAUACUGGGCUUAAAUACUUUGGAUCGUGCUCAAGUGAGCCAAAUCCCUUAAAUGUGAGUUUGUUUGUUGACUGGUAAGCCAGAUGGUGGCGAACCCCAGAGAGGGACCUAACAAGUUAUGUAGAAGUUCCCAAAGGAACCAUUUUUCUUGUCGCUUUCUUGCCAAGUUUCUG